AAUGAAGAGCCAACAUAAUUUCCACAUCUAAUUCUGUGAAAUAAGGGUUUAAUUUGACCAAACCAGAGUUGGUGAUAGUUGGAAAGACUAACAAAGACGGUUUUGGUGAGUUUUAUCUUGUUUCUGUCGAGUUUGAAGAGAGUUUUACGAUGCUCCGCCGCUAGAACAG